rnacentral:rRNA from 1 species
ACGCUCGACACCUACGGAGGCAGCAGUGGGGAAUAUUGCACAAUGGAGGAAACUCUGAUGCAGCGAUGCCGCGUGAGGGAAGAAGGUUUUCGGAUUGUAAACCUCUGUCUUUGGGGACGAUAAUGACGGUACCCAAGGAGGAAGCUCCGGCUAACUACGUCNCANGCGCGAGUAUNGAGGCGGNGNGACGAG